GACGAACCGUGCGAACGUUAUUCGGAAUCACUGGGCUUAAAGCGCGCGUAGGCGGGUGGGAGCGUCGGCCACUGAAAGCCCCCGGCUCAACCGGGGAAGGGGUGCCGAGACGUCCCGCCUGGAGGGGCGUAGGGGGACCCGGAACUUCCGGUGGAGCGGUGAAAUGCGUUGAGAUCGGAAGGAACGCCCGUGGCGAAAGCGGGGUCCUGGACGCCAGCUGACGCUGAGGCGCGAAAGCUAGGGGAGCAAACAGG
rnacentral:rRNA from 1 species